GACGAACGCUGGCGGCGUGCUUAACACAUGCAAGUCGAACGGAAAGACCCUGCUUUUGUGGGUUGCUCGAGUGGCGAACGGGUGAGUAACACGUGAGUAACCUGCCCUUAACUUUGGGAUAACUUUAGGGAACUGGGGCUAAUACCGGAUAGGAGCUCCUGCUGCAUGGUGGGGGUAGGAAAGUUUCGGCGGUUGGGGAUGGACUCGCGGCUUAUCAGCUUGUUGGUGGGGUAGUGGCUUACCAAGGCUUUGACGGCUAGCCGGCCUGAGAGGGUGACCGGCCACAUUGGGACUGCGAUACGGCCCAGACUCCUACGGGAGGCAGCAGUGGGGAAUAUUGCACAAUGGGCCGAAGCCUGAUGCAGCGACGCCGCGUGCGGGAUGCCGGCCUUCGGGUUGUAAACCGCUUUCGCCUGUGACGAAGCGUGAGUGACGGUAAUGGGUAAAGAAGCACCGGCUAACUACGUG
rnacentral:rRNA from 1 species